CGGGCGCUACUCCAUUCUCAUAGCCCCCGGUAAGCCGUCCAAAAGGAGGAGAUCAUUUCCGCCUGACCGGCGGUGCGGCAGUGUGGAGACCUGCCGUAAAGCGUUGGGAGUUUCGCUCUCCCGUCGUGAGGGAGUCUGUGCGGAUGCACGGCUCUUACGGUCGAGUAUUAUGGCA
rnacentral:ncRNA from 1 species